AGCUGUCCAUUCAAACCCAAUCAUAGCAUACACCAGUACACCAUAUAUUAAGGACUGAACAAAGAUGUAUGGAAGUUCAAUUACAACCUGCAAAUGGAGGUACAAGUUAGAACUGUUUCUUCUAUCUACCUUAAUAUUUCUCAUGUUGUACAUUGAUUUGGAGGGAUUUUACUGUCUGCACCACCUUUUUAUGGAAGGAAAUAGAGUAGCUUACACAUUCUUGAAUCUGAUUAUGAUUUGUUACAACCAAAUUUAAUGUGCUAUCUCUGUUUUACCACUAUUUUUUUUUGUCACAUUCAUUUGAAGUGAUUGUUAGCUGUAGUGAAUGCCAGUAAACUUUACCUGUCCCAAGGCAUAUGGCAAUGGUGAGUACAUAUGAGCCGCCCUUUCCCUGUAAAAGACUGUUCGCUCAACUGAUACAACUGGCUGAACUGAACCAGAAUUCUGUACUCCCAUGAAAAUAACUGAGGCAUACAUGGAACCCAUGGCAUUGAACAAGUCCUGUUGACUAUCCCUGCAAGAGUAGAAAUAAUAUAUCUAGUGAACUGAAAGCUUGUGGUAAUGGAGACCAGGGGUGGCCUCUGUAACUGUAGGAAAUUUGACAUUUACAUUUUUCUACUUCAAUUUUGUUUAUGCUCAUUACCUUUUUCUGCCUACACCCCAGAACAUUGUUCCAAACAACAGGGCAAUCACUGUUGUGUAGAAGUAUUUGACAGCAGUAUAUGGAGGGUUUCUCCAAUAUGACAUACUUUGCUUCCACAGGCAAGCGAAACACUGUGUGAGGAAAGUCUGCGAGUAUUCGGUUGGAAAAGAUAGGUCACUUGAACCUUCUGGAGGCGUGCUUAGCUCCUUUAUCAAAGUUUUAUUCCUCCUGAAAUACAACAAAAUUACAAAAGUAGUGUUGACUGAGACAUUGUUUGACAGUGUAUUAUCUUUUUUGUGGAAUUGGAAUAUCAAUUCCUAAAUAGAUUUACAUAUUAAUAUUUUGAUCUUUUGAAAGGAUAUGUAUAUGGUUUAAGAAUUAUUUAUGCACAUAUUGUUUGAAAAUAGGGAAAACAGGAAUAUUCUGCUGCAGGGCAGAUUGACCCUUAGCUGUGUCAAUAUAUGUCCCUCCUAGAGGAUAAAAUCCAUACUCUUGGAAAAUGCCUUGUACUUCUCAGUUUAAGGAUCUGCACUCUCAAAUACUACUACUUUGCUAUUCUCAAAAUCUGAGAUUUCGGAGCCUGAAUCAAAGUUAGAUAGGUCUGUACUUCUUACUCCUUGAUUAGAUUAUUAUAAACUAUGAACCAUAACACACAUGCACAUACCUGUAUAAUUCUGAGUUCUUGUAUACUUCGCUGAAGUUAAUACCAGUUAUCUGUUCUUGCAUUGUACUAGUCACUUCCAGCAUCCAUGUCGAGGGGUUGUAGCCAUCUUUUAUCUUGUUGACACCUUCGAUAUCCUUGGUACAAUCAAGGAAAGCCCAGUUAGAUGAUGUGUCAGAUCAGUGCAAAACUGUAAUUCGUGGAAAUAUAAUAGUUAAGUUGCUCCUUCCUCACCUCAAAAUAUUUGAUCAGUUCACAUGAGUGCAGUCCUAGUGGACCUACAUAAAUCUCUUCACCUCCACGUUUCAUAAGGAAGAGCUGCAGUUGUGCACAGAGCCAUUAGGUGUUAAAGGUCUGGUAUAUAGUGCAAAUAGCGAAAGUGUUGGUUUACUCUUUUUUCCUUUGCAUUCUAAAAUAAGCAACUAUGUUUUGUAUGGUUUUCUUUACCUCAUCAAAAGAUUCAAAGAUAUCUAUACUUGGUUGGUGAAUGGUACAAACAACCGUUCUUCCUGUGUCCACAGUAUUCCUUAUUGCCCUCAUGACAAUAGCUGCUGCUCGAGCAUCAAGUCCAGAUGUCGGUUCAUCCAUGAAAAUUAUAGAAGGAUUAGCAACAAGCUCAACAGCUAUUGUUAGCCUCUUCCUUUGCUCUGUUGAUAGUCCGCUCACACCAGGCAAUCCCACCAAUGCAUCUUUCAAGGGUGAAAGCUCCACAAGCUCCAUAACCUCAUCAAUAAACAUCUGCACAGAGAAAAUCAGAUUUCAUGUGUGAGACGCCGACUAAAAAUGUAAUUACUUUAUUAGUUAUAUUGUAAAACUGGCCAGCAUUUUCAAUCAUGUCUAUCUGAAAUGUUUCUAUGAACGCUGACUAAAAAUGUAAUUACUUUAUUAGUUAUAUUGUAAAACUGGCCAUCAUUUUCGAUCAUGUCUAUCUGAAAUGUUUCUAUGAACUUAAAUUCUGGGUUGUUCAAGAUUUCCAUCUAUAUUAUCACAUAACAUUUUUUAUCAACUUGGCUGUUUUAUUUUUUUUUUAAAUAAAAACAUGGUUGUCCAGAUUUUCAUCUAUAUCACUACAUAACAUUUUAGAUCAACUGGUAAAAUUGCUCAUAUUCUGACCAUAUUUCACAUAAUUUGUUAAUGCAUGCAUGUAUACUAUAAUUUAUUAAACAAAGUGAUGUCUUUGUUCUUUGGCAAACCUUUCUUGUCGAGGAAUCAACAUCAGCAGGUAAUCUGAGCCAUGCAGAGAAUGCAAGGGAUUCAUAGACGGUAACAUUUGGUGAAUGGAUGUCAUUUUGCUCACAGUAUCCUGAUAUACGAGCAAAAGUUUCUUGUUUCUUCGGGUAACCUGAUAUGGUAAUGUUGCCCUCAAUGUAUCCACUGGUCUUCCUCCCAGCCAACACAUCCAUCAGUGUGGUCUUGCCAGCACCACUGACACCCAUAAGAGCAGUAAGUACUCCUGGCCUAAACGAACCACUUAUACCUUUCAGUAGUUCCAACCGGGUCUCUGUGACACCUUGUGCUCUGAUUGCCUACAUGUUUUAUUGGAUAUAAAUAAACUGUUAUAAAUGAUUGCUUUGCACUUAGAUGGUAUGAAAACAUACAAGAAUCUGCAAGAAUGUUUGUAUUAAUUUCCUUAAACCAGCCCUUUGGGCUGGUAUGAGUGCCUUUGACUCCAUUUUUUCUUAGUAUAAUGAUGUGCAGUUCUUACUCGUGUUCGGUACAAAAAUUAAAAAUUUCCUUAAAAAGUGAAUACCUCUGGCAUGUCCACACUGUAUCUUAUAUCUUCAAAAGUGAUGGAGAGAGGUACAAAAGGGAGGACCAUUCCUUUGUUGACUUGACUAGAAUUUACUGUCGCUUCAUCAUUGCUCUCAUCCAAAGUACCUGAUAGCAUAUCACAUAUGCAAGGUUGUCAGGCACAUCAAUAUAUUCUUAUGUAAUAUUAAUUAACGAAGAUAAAACAAUAAUUACUUCUAGCUGUUACUGUAGUGUUGGCAACCCGUCCUCUCGAUGAUGCUUCUAAAACUUCACCGGUUAGAUUUGCUUGUUUUAUCUUCAACGUCUCCUCAGAAAUUGUUGGUUGAUUAGUGUCAAAUGCUGCAGGGAGCAUAAUUUGUAAGGGUUGAAUUUGAUUGUUUGCAGUAUGCAUUUUUAAUGUCCAUGUAGAUGCAGAAUACCAUUUACUCACGCUUGAGGAAUGUGAGGCAGAUAGUGUAGAGUAUAUUGAAUAGCAGCACAUAUCCAAACAAGGCACCCACACCAAUCCAGUACCAUUUUGCCUCAGGAAAAAGUCCACGAGAUUCUAGAACUAGUUUUCCAAGUGGUUCUGCUGAACCGGGGUUUGCUUGCUGCAUAUAAGAGUAUCAAUAAGCUUUAGUCAUUAUUCGUUAACUAACUUGUGAAGGUUAUACCUUUCUUAAAAUAUAUUUUACCUUAUUCCAGCUGCUACCCAGGAAUUCAUUUACUGAUAUGGCAUUUUGUGCAUACAUCAGGGGUGAUAUCCAGUACCCCCAAAUCCACCAUUUCUUCACAUUCUCUGUUAAAUCAAAGGAAUAGUUUAAUUCAAGAAUUCUUGUAUAAGUACCGCUGCCAUAUCAGAUGAAUAAUAGCUGAAAUUAGAAAGUUCAAGCCAUGUUUACAUUUAAACACUAUAUUUUGAGUUAGCUGCUUUUGCAUAUACCUCUUGCCAGGAGGAAUCCACCCAAAAGCAUGCAUAUCAGAAUGCCGAAUGAACCAAGGGUGCUUGCAACAACCUGAUGCCUUGCAAGCCCGGCAAUGAAACGGAACAAUCCUGAUGAUGCCUCGUUCAUUAGUAAGAGGAGCAGGAACUGCCUAAAAAGUCUGCAGCAGGUUUAUCAAAUUUGAUCAGGUUCUGUAAUGCACUCAUAAACAUGCUGCUCUGGGAUAGAAAUUUUGGUUUCCAUACCUUUCUACGUUGGGAUCAAAUCCAAUAACAUAGUAUGUUAUGAAGACCCAAAUUGUUACAUUCAGCAAGGAGAGGGGAGUCUUAAUGAUCCAUGAUGGCAAGGAGUAUGUCCAUGCAGGGUAGAAGAGAAGAUCCCUUUGCUUGAAGAAAACUGGGAGCUUUGCAAUAGUUAGGCCAACUUCUGCCAGUCCAUUGAACAUGAUCAUCAGGAUCCCAAAGAACAGGGCACCCAUGUAUAUCCUUCCAUCUGUUACUGAGUCACGAUGCAUAUUGGUUCGGAGAAAGACGGUCAUCGUAAUGAGUGCCAUGAGUGUUAGCUGAACAAUAGGUAGUAAACAAAAAGGAGUUGUCAUUUAAGUUCUCAUGGUGUGGCCAACAUAAUUUGAAUCUGAAAAGCCCUGGUUCUCGAGAAUCACCUGAACUGCCUUGAAUAUGUAUACAAAGGAAUUUCUUUUCAUUAGCAAUAUCUCUCUGUCAAUAUUUGCUUUAAGUAGCUCUCUCACGCUGGCGCCAUAUUUUGAUGUUUUCAGAGCAGCAGGAUGACUCGUACUCUUGUCAAAUGGGACUGCCAACUCAUUUCGUAUAGCCUCACCAACAUGGAAAGAUUGAAAUGCUUCUGCAAACUCCUUCACGGGGACAUAUCGGUAGGUGUCAUCACCAUGUUUCCAGUAUUGUCUCUGAUCUUUCUUUGAUGUAACCUAUCACAUUUCAAUUAUUGCUCGUCAAACUUGUGCACUAAUAUACCCCAAAAAAAGAUCAGCACUACUGAAUAAUAUGAUCCUAGCAUUACAUAUUUCUGAAAUGUGUACUUCGUUAGGUAUUUCGAGAUCUUUUCUUUUUAAUUAAAUACCCUUCUAGAAAAAGCUUGAUGCAGAACUGUAAUGAAAGUACAGAACUCACUUCCUGCAGGAAGUCGGCUACACCUUUCCGCUGCGGGCAUUUGAAGCCAACUGACUCAAAGAACUCAAGAACAUAUUCACGAGGACCAUUGUAGACAACCUGACCAUCUGAGAGAAGAAUUAUAUCAUCAAACAAUUCAUAUGUCUCAGGUGCAGGUUGUA
rnacentral:lncRNA from 1 species